rnacentral:rRNA from 1 species
GGGGAUAAAGCAUUGCAAUUAUUGCUUUUCAACGAGGAAUGCCUAGUAAGCGCGUGUCAUCAGCAUGCGUUGAUUACGUCCCUGACCUUUGUACACACCGCCCGUCGCUACUACCGAUUGAAUGGCUCAGUGAGGCCUUCGGACUGGCUCGAGGAGGUUGGCAACGACCACCUCAAGCCGGAACGUUCGUCAAACUCGGUCAUUUAGAGGAAGUAAAAGUCGUAACAAGGUCUCCGUAGGUGAACCUGCGGAGGGAUCAUUACACAAAUAUGAAGGCGGGCUGGAACCUCUCGGGGUUACAGCCUUGCUGAAUUAUUCACCCUUGUCUUUUGCGUACUUCUUGUUUCCUUGGUGGGUUCGCCCACCACUAGGACAAACAUAAACCUUUUGUAAUUGCAAUCAGCGUCAGUAACAAAUUAAUAAUUACAACUUUCAACAACGGAUCUCUUGGUUCUGGCAUCGAUGAAGAACGCAGCGAAAUGCGAUAAGUAGUGUGAAUUGCAGAAUUCAGUGAAUCAUCGAAUCUUUGAACGCACAUUGCGCCCUUUGGUAUUCCAAAGGGCAUGCCUGUUCGAGCGUCAUUUGUACCCUCAAGCUUUGCUUGGUGUUGGGCGUCUUGUCUCUAGCUUUGCUGGAGACUCGCCUUAAAGUAAUUGGCAGCCGGCCUACUGGUUUCGGAGCGCAGCACAAGUCGCACUCUCUAUCAGCAAAGGUCUAGCAUCCAUUAAGCCUUUUUUCAACUUUGACCUCGGAUCAUGUAU